rnacentral:rRNA from 1 species
AACGUAGGAGACAAACGUUAUCCGGAGUUACUGGGCGUAAAGGGCGUGUAGGUGGUUUCGUAAGUCUGGCGUGAAAUUUUUCGGCUUAACCGGGAAAGGUCGUCGGAUACUGCGGAACUAGAGGACGGUAGAGGCGUGUGGAAUUCCGGGUGUAGUGGUGAAAUUCGUAGAUAUUCGCAAGAACACCAGUGGCGAAGGCGGCUCACUGGCCCAUUACUGACGCUGAGGCACGAAAGCGUGGGGAGCAAACAGG